GGUCCUAUGGUGUAAUGGUUAGCACUUCGGAUUCUGAGCUCAGUACCUUCCGGCGAUCCCUGUUCGAUCCAGGGUAGGACCU